rnacentral:ncRNA from 1 species
AUAACGGUCUUUUUCAGGACCAUUAAUAUUUUACACAAAAUAAUCU